rnacentral:rRNA from 1 species
AACGAACGCUGGCGGCAGGCUUAACACAUGCAAGUCGAACGAGAUCUUCGGAUCUAGUGGCAGACGGGUGAGGAACACGUGGGAACAUCCCUUUCAGUUCGGAAUAACGUUGGGAAACUAACGCUAAUACCGGAUACGUCCUUCGGGAGAAAGAUUUAUCGCUGAAAGAUUGGCCCGCGUCUGAUUAGCUAGUUGGUGAGGUAAUGGCUCACCAAGGCUACGAUCAGUAGCUGAUCUGAGAGGAUGAUCAGCCACAUUGGGACUGAGACACGGCCCAAACUCCUACGGGAGGCAGCAGUGGGGAAUAUUGGACAAUGGGCGCAAGCUUGAUCCAGCCAUGCCGCGUGAGUGAUGAAGGCCUUCGGGUUGUAAAGCUCUUUUAUCCGGGAAGAUAAUGACUGUACCGGAAGAAUAAGCCCCGGCAAAUUUCGUGCCAGCAGCCGCGGUAA